UAGGGAAUCUUCCGCAAUGGGCGAAAGCCUGACGGAGCAACGCCGCGUGAGUGAUGAAGGUCUUCGGAUCGUAAAACUCUGUUAUUAGGGAAGAACAAAUGUGUAAGUAACUAUGCACAUCUUGACGGUACCUAAUCAGAAAGCCACGGCUAACUACGUGCCAGCAGCCGCGGUAAUACGUAGGUGGCAAGCGUUAUACGGAAUUAUUGGGCGUAAAGCGCGCGUAGGCGGUUUUUUAAGUCUGAUGUGAAAGCCCACGGCUCAACCGUGGAGGGUCAUUGGAAACUGGAAAACUUGAGUGCAGAAGAGGAAAGUGGAAUUCCAUGUGUAGCGGUGAAAUGCGCAGAGAUAUGGAGGAACACCAGUGGCGAAGGCGACUUUCUGGUCUGUAACUGACGCUGAUGUGCGAAAGCGUGGGGAUCAAACAGG
rnacentral:rRNA from 1 species